UGGGGAAUCUUGGACAAUGGGCGCAAGCCUGAUCCAGCAAUGCCGCGUGUGCGAAGAAGGCCUGCGGGUUGUAAAGCACUUUAGGUGGGGAAGAAAUGCCUGGGGUGAAGAGCUCUAGGUUUUGACGUUACCCAUGGAAUAAGCACCGGCUAACUCCGUGCCAGCAGCCGCGGUAAUACGGAGGGUGCGAGCGUUAAUCGGAAUUACUGGGCGUAAAGCGCGCGUAGGCGGUUAAGUAAGUCAGCUGUGAAAGCCCUGGGCUCAACCUGGGAAUGGCAGUUGUUACUGUUCAACUGGAGUGCGAUAGAGGACAGUGGAAUUCCCGGUGUAGCGGUGAAAUUCGUAGAUAUCGGGAGGAACACCAGUGGCGAAGGCGGCUCUCUGGUCCGAUACUGACGCUGAGACGCGAAAGCGUGGGGAGCAAACAGGAUUAGAUACCCUGGUAGUCCACGCCGUAAACGAUGGGCACUAGGUGUAGGAGGUAUUGACCCCUUCUGUGCCGAAGCUAACGCAUUAAGUGCCCCGCCUGGGGAGUACGGCCGCAAGGCUA
rnacentral:rRNA from 1 species